AAUAGAUACCCGGGUAGUCCACGCCCUAAACGAUGUCUACUAGUUGUCGGGUCUUAAUUGACUUGGUAACGCAGCUAACGCGUGAGGUAGACCGCCUGGGGAGUACGGUCGCAAGAUUAAAACUCAAAGGAAUUGACGGGGACCCGCACAAGCGGUGGAUGAUGUGGAUUAAUUCGAUGCAACGCGAAAAACCUUACCUACCCUUGACAUGUCAGGAACCCUCGAGAGAUCGGGGGGUGCCCGAAAGGGAGCCUGAACACAGGUGCUGCAUGGCUGUCGUCAGCUCGUGUCGUGAGAUGUUGGGUUAAGUCCCGCAACGAGCGCAACCCUUGUCAUUAGUUGCUACGAAAGGGCACUCUAAUGAGACUGCCGGUGACAAACCGGAGGAAGGUGGGGAUGACGUCAAGGUCCUCAUGGCCCUUAUGGGUAGGGCUCCACACGUCAUACAAUGGUACAUACAGAGGGCCGCCAACCCGGCGAGGGGGAGCCUAAUCCCAGAAAGUGUAUCGUAGUCCGGAUCGCAGUCUGCAACUCGACUG
rnacentral:rRNA from 1 species